CCGGCGAUCGGCGGACGGGUGCGUAACGCGUAUGUAACCUACCUUUGACAGGGGGAUAACAUCGAGAAAUUGGUACUAAUACCCCAUAACAUCACCGGAGGCAUCUUCGGUGGUUGAAAACUCAGGUGGUCAGAGAUGGACAUGCGUUGUAUUAGCUAGUUGGUGAGGUAACGGCUCACCAAGGCGACGAUACAUAGGGGGACUGAGAGGUCAACCCCCCACAUUGGUACUGAGACACGGACCAAACUCCUACGGGAGGCAGCAG
rnacentral:rRNA from 1 species